rnacentral:tRNA from 1 species
GGGGUUGUAGUCCAGUGGUAGAACGCUUGCCUUGUAUGUGUGAGGCCCUGGGUUCAAUCCUCAGCAUCACAU